GAUGAACGCUGGCGGCGUGCCUAAUACAUGCAAGUCGAGCGACCAGACGAGGAGCUUGCUCCUCUGACGUUAGCGGCGGACGGGUGAGUAACACGUGGAUAACCUACCUAUAAGACUGGGAUAACUUCGGGAAACCGGAGCUAAUACCGGAUAAUAUAUUGCACCGCAUGGUUCAAUAGUGAAAGACGGUUUUGCUGUCACUUAUAGAUGGAUCCGCGCCGCAUUAGCUAGUUGGUAAGGUAACGGCUUACCAAGGCAACGAUGCGUAGCCGACCUGAGAGGGUGAUCGGCCACACUGGAACGGAGACACGGUCCAGACUCCUACGGGAGGCAGCAGUAGGGAAGCUUCCGCAAUGGGCGAAAGCUUGACUGAGCAACGCCGCGUGAGUGAUGAAGGUCUUCGGAUCGUAAAACUCUGUGAUUAGGGAAGAACAAAUGUGUAAGUAACUAUGCACGUCUUGACGGUACCGAAUCAGAAAGCCACGGCUAACUACGUG
rnacentral:rRNA from 1 species